UCCACGGAGAGUUUGAUCCUGGCUCAGAAUGAACGCUGGCGGCGUGGAUUAGGCAUGCAAGUCGAGCGCGAAAGUCCCCUUCGGGGGGCGAGUAGAGCGGCGAACUGGUGAGUACAAGGUGGAUAACGUGCCCCUCAGCGGGGGACAACCCUUGGAAACAGGGGCUAAUACCGCAUGAGCCCCACGGGUCCUCGGACCUGUGGGGGAAAGACUUCGGUCGCUGAGGGAGCGGUCCACCCCCCAUUAGCUUGUUGGUGAGGUAACGGCUCACCAAGGCCACGAUGGGUAGCUGGUCUGAGAGGAUGGUCAGCCACACUGGGACUGAGAUACGGCCCAGACUCCUACGGGGGGCAGCAGUCUAGAGG
rnacentral:rRNA from 1 species